UGGCCGCAUAUGUGUAAGACUUGGCUUGGUGCCAUUACAACCAUUGCCUGAGUUUCUCCAGUUGCACCUUUUAGAACUGUAUCCUGUCUUGGAGACUAUCCAGAAAUAUCUUUGGUCUCGUUUAUGUACACUUGAUCAACGUACUCUGUAAGUUCUUGACACUUUGGCUGCAUAAUUCAAUGACUGUAAUAGAUAUACCGACUUGGAUGCAGUCAGCAGUUCUCCAGUUGAUUUCUACUCACUAAACAUUAAUUGGAUUGGCAAAAUAACUCUAGCUAUAUAUUGAAACUACACAGGUAUGAGCUACAUUACCAAAAUUUGGAACUUUGGAGCUUGCUAGUGGCUUGGGUGGGAACAUCAAGAAGCAAGAAGUUCAAUCUGCUUUACAACAGUACCAGCUUCAAUCACUCAUCAACAACUUCAUCACAAAGUUUACAUGCAUUCACUCCAUCAUGGACAGACUGGAGCUUAGGUUGUAUGAAGAAGCUUGAAGAUUAAGAGGCUACAAGACACUCUAUACUUUAUGUAACUAAGCAAAAAUUACAUUGUAAUAGA